GUACUGUUGACGAGUUCCAAAUAGGACGAAGCAACUGUCUAGUAC
rnacentral:hammerhead_ribozyme from 1 species